UCGAACCUUAACUGAUUUCAUGCAUACCCGGGGUCUACGUAUGCGUUCUCUUGGACAAGUAGUAAGUCUUAUUGAUCAUUUUUUACCCUUAGUAAUUUUCUCCUUAUGUAUGUGUGUGUGACACAUAUAUUUGUCCACUUAGACUUCAAUUUGUGUCUUCUUGUUUAGUAUUUUUAAUCUCCAGGUCAUAAUAUUUUUACUUUAGUAUAUUAAUUGUACCGAGAUUAUCAAAUAUAGAUGUUGAAUUUUGUUAGAACUGUCAAAGGUUUGAAAAUUAUCUGAAAGUUGAAUUUCUCAUUCUUUAUCUCUUUCCUAUUGCCUCUACAUUGAUCUGGUUUUAGAUCAUGAUAAAUUCUAUGUGCAACUGUAAAACCAUAGUAGGCCAAUUUUUAUCUCAUUAAGCUGCGCCUGAAUUGAUUCUUGCUCUUUUUUUCUUCUUGUGUAGGUUAAACUUUCUGAGAAGUUAUCACACGUGCAAUCUCUUUGUAUACAUGAGAUGAUAGUCCGAGCUUUUAAACAUAUUCUGCAAGCAGCUAUUGCAUCAGUUGUUGACAUUGAGGAUAUGGCUGCGAUAAUUGCUGCUGCCUUGAAUAUGAUGCUUGGGGUACCUGAAAAUGAUGAUUCAAAUGAGUACGGUGUUGAUUCUUUGAUCUGGAGAUGGCUGGAAUUAUUUUUGAAGAAGAGAUAUGAGUGGGAUGUUGGCAGCCUAAACUACAAAGAUAUGAG
rnacentral:lncRNA from 1 species